rnacentral:lncRNA from 1 species
UGACAUAACUUGGGUGGAUGUACAAGCAAAGAUAAAUAGGCAGCUUUUCACUGAAUUUUCAAGCAGAACAAGAAAUGUCAGUGAAAACGUGUGUUUCUAAUAUGCUCAAGGAAUUUCAACAAAGGAAGCUAAUACUGAUGAAUUAAUUUGCUGAAACUGCAACCAAGGGAGUUUGUUUGUUUGGUAUUCAAACUUAAAUGGAUCCUGUUUCCAAUAAACAGCAUGAAAGGGGAGCAUUUCCAGGGCACUGCCAUGCCAAAUGGAAGACGGCUUGUUCGCUGCCUGAUGAAAUUUGGGAUGAAAGACAGCAACCACAAUCCCUAAUCUCAUCUCAGAACUGCCAGAGGAGAACUGUAGAAACUACUCGGACUGCUGCAAAGUCUGGCCAGAAGGAUGGGCAAGAUGUUCCAUUGGUUUUGAAACUGUAACACCUGGAGCACAGCACUUCUGAUCCAUGACAGAGUAUCCUAACUGCAAGGGAGUCAAUAAUUUGCUGAAACUGACAGAGAGAAUUACACACUGCCCUCUGUGUUUAUAAACAAAUAAAAAGAGGUGGGAGAAAGCUGAGUGUCUGAAG